rnacentral:rRNA from 1 species
AUUGAACGCUGGCGGCAGGCCUAACACAUGCAAGUCGAACGAGUGGCGGACGGGUUAGUAAUGUCUGGGAAACUGCCUGAUGGAGGGUGAUAACUACUGGAACCGGUAGCUCAUACCGCAUACCAUCAGAUGUGCCCAGAUGGGAUUAGCUAGUGGGUGGGGUAAUGGCUCACCAAGGCGACGAUCCCUAGCUGGUCUGAGAGGAUGACCAGCCACACGGGAAAUGAGGCACGGUCCAGAUUCCGACGGGAGGCAGCAGUGGGGAAUAUUGCACAAUGGGCGCAAGCCUGAUGCAGCCAUGCCGCGUGUAUGAAGAAGGCCGUCGGGUUGUAAAGCACUUUCAGCGGUGAGGCGUUACGCGCAGAAGAAGCACCGGCUAACUCCGUGCCAGCAGCCGCGGUAAUAC